GACGAACGCUGGCGGCGUGCUUAACACAUGCAAGUCGAACGAUGAACCCGGAGCUUGCUCCGGUGGAUUAGUGGCGAACGGGUGAGUAACACGUGAGUAACCUGCCCUUGACUCUGGGAUAACUGCGGGAAACUGUAGCUAAUACCGGAUACGACCCUCGGCGGCAUCGCCAGGGGGUGGAAAGAAUUUCGGUCAAGGAUGGACUCGCGGCCUAUCAGCUAGUUGGUGAGGUAACGGCUCACCAAGGCGACGACGGGUAGCCGGCCUGAGAGGGUGACCGGCCACACGGGAGCUGAGACACGGCCCAGACUCCUACGGGGGGCAGCAGUGGAGAAUAUUGCACAAUGGGCGCAAGCCUGAUGCAGCACCGCCGCGUGAGGGAUGACGGCCUUCGGGUUGUAACCCUCUUUUAGUAGGGAAGAAGCGAAAGUGACGGUACCUGCAGAAAAAGCACCGGCUAACUACGUGCCAGCCGCCGCCGUAA
rnacentral:rRNA from 1 species